GAAUUUUUCACAAUGGGCGAAAGCCUGAUGGAGCGACGCCGCGUGGGGGAUGAAUGGCUUCGGCCCGUAAACCCCUGUCAUUUGCGAACAAACCUUACGAUUUAACAGAUCGUGAGCUGAUUGUAGCGAAAGAGGAAGGGACGGCUAACUCUGGUCCAGCAGCCGCGGUAAUACAGAGGUCCCAAGCGUUGUUCGGAUUCACUGGGCGUAAAGGGUGCGUAGGUGGUCGGGUAAGUCUGAUGUGAAAUCUCCGAGCUUAACUCGGAAAUGGCAUUGGAUACUAUUCGGCUAGAGGGUUUGAGGGGGGACUGGAAUACUUGGUGUAGCAGUGAAAUGCGUAGAUAUCAAGUGGAACACCAGUGGCGAAGGCGAGUCCCUGGAAAACUCCUGACACUGAGGCACGAAAGCUAGGGGAGCAAACAGG
rnacentral:rRNA from 1 species